rnacentral:rRNA from 1 species
UACGGAGGGAGCUAGCGUUGUUCGGAAUUACUGGGCGUAAAGCGCACGUAGGCGGCUUUGUAAGUUAGAGGUGAAAGCCCGGGGCUCAACCCCGGAAUUGCCUUUAAGACUGCAUCGCUUGAAUCCAGGAGAGGUGAGUGGAAUUCCGAGUGUAGAGGUGAAAUUCGUAGAUAUUCGGAAGAACACCAGUGGCGAAGGCGGCUCACUGGACUGGUAUUGACGUUGAGGUGCGAAAGCGUGGGGAGCAAACAGG